UACGAAGGGGGGCUAGCGUUGCUCGGAAUGACUGGGCGUAAAGGGUGCGUAGGCGGUUCUUUAAGUCUGGGGUGAAAGCCCGUUGCUCAACAACGGAACUGCCCUGGAAACUGGAGGACUUGAGUACAGACGAGGGUGGCGGAAUGGAUGGUGUAGCGGUGAAAUGCAUAGAUACCAUCCAGAACCCCCGAUUGCGAAGC
rnacentral:rRNA from 1 species